rnacentral:rRNA from 1 species
ACCUGGUUGAUCCUGCCAGUAGUCAUAUGCUUGUCUCAAAGAUUAAGCCAUGCAUAUCUAAGUAUAAAUAGUAUACAGUGAAACUGCGAAUGGGUCAUUAAAACAGUUAUAGUUUAUUUGAUAAUGGAAAGCUACAUGGAUAACCGUGGUAAUUCUAGAGCUAAUACAUGCUGUUAAACCCGACUUUAUGGAAGGGUUGUAUUUAUUAGAUAUCAAGCCAAUAUUCCUUCGGGUCUAUUGUGGUGAAUCAUAGUAACUGAUCGAAUCCCUUUUUGGGAUAAAUCAUUCAAGUUUCUGCCCUAUCAGCUUUCGAUGGUAGUGUAUUGGACUACCAUGGCAGUUACGGGUAACGGAGAAUUAGGGUUCGAUUCCGGAGAGGGAGCCUGAGAAACGGCUACCACAUCUAAGGAAGGCAGCAGGCGCGUAAAUUACCCAAUCCCGAUUCGGGGAGGUAGUGACAAGAAAUAACAACCUGGGGGACCUAGUCCUUACGGGAUUGCAAUGAGAACAAUGUAAAAGACUUAUCGAGGAACAAUUGGAGGGCAAGUCUGGUGCUAGCAGCCGCGGUAAUUCCAGCUCCAAUAGCGUAUAUUAAAGUUGUUGCAGUUAAAAAGCUCGUAGUUGAACUUCUGUACAGUCCCAGUUCUGGCUUCGGUCAAGCUGUUGAUUGUGCAUCCGCUUGCAAACUUAGCCCGGCCUUCACUGGUCGACUAAGGGAGUAAGCCCUUUACUUUGAAAAAAUUAGAGUGUUUCAAGCAGGCAAUGGCUCGAAUACAUUAGCAUGGAAUAAUGGAAUAGGACUUUUGUCCAUUUGGUUGGUUAUUGGACAUGAGUAAUGAUUAAAAGGGACAGUUGGGGGCAUUAGUAUUUAAUUGUCAGAGGUGAAAUUCUUGGAUUUAUUAAAGACUAACUUAUGCGAAAGCAUUUGCCAAGAUGUUUUCAUUAAUCAAGAACGAAAGUUAGGGAUCAAAGACGAUCAGAUACCGUCCUAGUCUUAACUAUAAACUAUACCGACUCGGAAUCGGACAGGCUUAAAAACCUGUUCGGCCCCGUAUGAGAAGUCAAAGUCUUUGGGUUCUGGGGGGAGUAUGGUCCCAAGCCUGAAACUUAAA